CCCAGUGUCGCCAGGCUGAAACUCAAGAGUUCCUGGAUCUCGCAGGCUUUCCAGAGAAGCCAGGAAUUUAGAGAUGAUGUAAAAUUUCCUAAUUUUUAAAAAACAUUGCACGGGCCAACCCAAACACAUCCAUGGGCCAGACUGGGCCCACGUGUUGCCAACGUGCAGUCCUAACUUAGGGAAAGACACAGUCCCUGUCUUCACCAGAGGAGAACACAGCCUUUGUGAGCUCAAGUUCAAGUUCUAGAACGGACAAAGCUGGGUUCAUUACCUCUGCUCUCAGGCCAGCACAAACCCUCUGAACCUCAACUUUCCUACUGCAUACAAUGGACAAAAGGUGAAAUGUGGUUCACACAGGAGGCUCAUCUGGUUCUACAGGGAACACCUCUCCCAGGGAGGCAGCUGUGAUGCGAAUGAAUUUUAUGGGAUGGAAAGAAAUAGGACCAUGCCGCUGGGGAAGCUGGAUGCCUGAGGUUCUUCAGAUCAUCACCUAAAUGAGUCCAAACUAGAGAAGUUUCACAGCAAUGCAUCGUGAGCAGGAACGAGGCCACCUUGUGAUCGCCCGCGCUUCGCCCACAGACAACUGCCACACGACAACUCUUAGCAGGGGGCGUGCACCUCAGGCCCACUGGCUCCUUCAGGAACAGACAAUGCCCUCCUGCACCCGGGAACGUGCUUCCAAAAGUUCGUAGAAAAAAGACUUCACUGGUAAAUUUGUCUUGGUGCAAAAGAAUUUUGAGAUCCACCCGUAAACAGAGUUUUGCGUGGAUCUCAACAAUGUUUGCACCAAAAUAAACCUAUGGGCUUCAGAAAUUUUUUUCGGGCCCAAUAAACUUAUCUUUUAAUGACA